GUCUUGACUCAGAAUCAGUGUGUGGCCCUAACUCUCACUGUUACAAUUACAACGGAAGCUUCUCAUGCUUUUGUUGGGGUGGAUAUAAUGUCUCAGAUGGAAAUAAAGCUAUUAGUAAAGGCAACCCAUGCACUGAUAUAAAUGAAUGUCUGUUCAGUCCAUCUGUAUGUGGUCCAAAUGCCAACUGCACAAAUGAAAUGGGAAGUUACAAUUGCUCGUGUCUGGAUGGAUUCACUGCAACAAACUCAAAUCUCCCCAUCAGCAUCAAUAACACAUGUACAGAUGUGAAUGAAUGUGUUGAGAUAUCAGACAUCUGUGGUCCAAACUCAAUCUGCAACAACACUGUUGGGAGUCACAAUUGCUCGUGCAUGAGUGGAUAUAAUGUAACAGAUCCAAACCUCCCUAUAAACAGCAAUAACACAUGCAAAGAUGUAGAUGAAUGUCUGUUCAGUCCAUCUGUAUGUGGUCCAGAUUCCAACUGCACAAAUGAAAUGGGAAGUUACAAUUGUUCAUGUCUGAAUGGAUUCACUGCAACAAACUCAAGUCUCACCAUCAGCAUCAAUAACACAU